rnacentral:ncRNA from 1 species
ACAACGGCCCUUUUCAGGGCCACCAAUAUUUUUCAAAAAGAGUCU